rnacentral:rRNA from 1 species
UACGAAGGGGGCUAGCGUUGUUCGGAAUUACUGGGCGUACAGCGCGCGUAGGCGGUUUUGCAAGCCAGAGGUGAAAUGCCUGAGCUCAACUUAGGAAUUGCCUUUGGGACUGCGAGGCUUUGAGGACGAGAGAGGUGAGUGGAAUUCCCGGUGGAGUGGUGAAAUGCGUAGAUAUCGGGAGGAACACCAGUGGCGAAGGCGGCUUCCUGGCCCGUUCUUGACGCUGAGGCGCGAAAGCUAGGGGAGCAAACGGG